rnacentral:rRNA from 1 species
AGUGAACGCUGGCGGUAGGCCUAACACAUGCAAGUCGAACGGCAGCACAGUAAGAGCUUUCUCUUACGGGUGGCGAGUGGCGUACGGGUUAGGAAUCCAUCGCACUCUACUUUUUCGUGGGUGAUAACGUAGGGCAACUUACGCUAAUACCGCAUACGACCUACUUGUGAAUUCAGGGGAUCUUCUGACCUUGCGCGUUUGCUUGAGCCGAUGGCGGAUUAGCUAGUUGGCGUGGUAAAGGCACACCAAGGCGAAGAUCCGUAGCUGGUCUGAGAGGAUGAUCAGCCAAAAGGGAACGGAGAGACGGUCCAGAAUCCUAAGGGAGGCAACAGGGGGGAAUAUUGGAGAAGGGGCGCAAGCCUGAUCAAGCCAGACAGCGUGGGUGAAGAAGGCCUUCGGGUUGUAAAGCCCUUUUGUUGGGAAAGAAAAGCAGCAGGUUAAUAACCCGCUGUUCUGACGGUACCAAAAGAAUAAGCACCGGCUAACUUCGUG